AGUGAACGCUGGCGGUAGGCCUAACACAUGCAAGUCGAACGGCAGCACAGUAAGAGCUUGCUCUUACGGUUGGCGAGUGGCGGACGGGUGAGGAAUACAUCGGAAUCUACUUUUUCGUGGGGGAUAACGUAGGGAAACUUACGCUAAUACCGCAUACGACCUACGGGUGAAAGCAGUGGAUCUUCGGACCUUUCGCGAUUGAAUGAGCCGAUGUCGGAUUAGCUAGUUGGCGGGGUAAAGGCCCACCAAGGCGACGAUCCGUAGCUGGUCUGAGAGGAUGAUCAGCCACACUGGAACUGGGACACGGUCCAGACUCCUACGGGAGGCAGCAGUGGGGAAUAUUGGACAAUGGGCGCAAGCCUGAUCCAGCCAUACCGCGUGGGUGAAGAAGGCCUUCGGGUUGUAAAGCCCUUUUGUUGGGAAAGAAAAGCAGCAGGUUAAUACCCCGCUGUUCUGACGGUACCCAAAGAAUAAGCACCGGCUAACUUCGUG
rnacentral:rRNA from 1 species